UACGUAGGGUGCAAGCGUUGUCCGGAAUUAUUGGGCGUAAAGAGCUCGUAGGCGGUCUGUCACGUCGGCUGUGAAAACCCGGGGCUCAACCCCGGGCCUGCAGUCGAUACGGGCAGACUAGAGUGCGGUAGGGGAGACUGGAAUUCCUGGUGUAGCGGUGAAAUGCGCAGAUAUCGGGAGGAACACCGGUGGCGAAGGCGGUUCUCUGGGCCUUACCUGACACUGAGGAGCGAAAGCGUGGGGAGCGGACAGG
rnacentral:rRNA from 1 species